rnacentral:rRNA from 1 species
CCUACGGGAGGCUGCAGUGAGGAAUAUUGGUCAAUGGACGAGAGUCUGAACCAGCCAAGUAGCGUGAAGGAUGACUGCCCUAUGGGUUGUAAACUUCUUUUAUAUGGGAAUAAAAUGUUCCACGUGUGGGAUUUUGUAUGUACCAUAUGAAUAAGGAUCGGCUAACUCCGUGCCAGCAGCCGCGGUAAUACGGAGGAUCCGAGCGUUAUCCGGAUUUAUUGGGUUUAAAGGGAGCGUAGGUGGAUUGUUAAGUCAGUUGUGAAAGUUUGCGGCUCAACCGUAAAAUUGCAGUUGAAACUGGCAGUCUUGAGUACAGUAGAGGUGGGCGGAAUUCGUGGUGUGGCGGUGAAAUGCUUAGAUAUCACGAAGAACUCCGAUUGCGAAGGCAGUUCACUGGACUGCAACUGACACUGAGGCUCGAAAGUGUGGGUAUCAAACAGGAUUAGAUACCCUUGUAGUC